rnacentral:rRNA from 1 species
AGUGAACGCUGGCGGUAGGCCUAACACAUGCAAGUCGAACGGCAGCACAGUAAGAGCUUGCUCUUACGGGUGGCGAGUGGCGGACGGGUGAGGAAUACAUCGGAAUCUACUUUUUCGUGGGGGAUAACGUAGGGAAACUUACGCUAAUACCGCAUACGACCUACGGGUGAAAGCAGGGGAUCUUCGGACCUUGCGCGAUUGAAUGAGCCGAUGUCGGAUUAGCUAGUUGGCGGGGUAAAGGCCCACCAAGGCGACGAUCCGUAGCUGGUCUGAGAGGAUGAUCAGCCACACGGGAACGGAGACACGGUCCAGACUCCUAAGGGGGGCAGCAGUGGGGAAUAUUGGACAAUGGGCGCAAGCCUGAUCCAGCCAUACCGCGUGGGUGAAGAAGGCCUUCGGGUUGUAAAGCCCUUUUGUUGGGAAAGAAAAGCAGCAGGUUAAUACCCCGCUGUUCUGACGGUACCCAAAGAAUAAGCACCGGCUAACUUCGUG